UCGGGAAUUUUGGGCAAUGGGCGAAAGCCUGACCCAGCAACGCCGCGUGAAGGAUGAAGUAUUUCGGUAUGUAAACUUCGUAAGAAUAGGAAGAAUAAAUGACGGUACUAUUUGUAAGGUCCGGCUAACUACGUGCCAGCAGCCGCGGUAAUACGUAGGGACCAAGCGUUGUUCGGAUUUACUGGGCGUAAAGGGCGCGUAGGCGGCAAUUCAAGUCAUCUGUGAAAUCUCCGGGCUUAACUCGGAACGGUCAGAUGAUACUGCUUUGCUAGAGUGCAGAAGGGGCAAUCGGAAUUCUUGGUGUAGCGGUGAAAUGCGUAGAUAUCAAGAGGAACACCUGAGGUGAAGACGGGUUGCUGGGCUGACACUGACGCUGAGGCGCGAAAGCCAGGGGAGCAAACGGGAUUAGAUACCCUCGUAGUCCCUGAGCGGGCUGGCAAGGCGCAU
rnacentral:rRNA from 1 species